UCCUUCAUAUUAUUGGAAACAAGCCAUAUGUUGCAUGAUGUAGCUUGCUGAUAUAUUAUCUUAUUUGCUCAUUCCAAUAAAUACUGUAAAUGUAGAAUGGCACAAUGGAAGUUUCCGAGUGACAAACAAAAAGAGGAUAAGGAACAAGCAACAGCAGCAAUCAAAUAAGAGACAACAGAAGGUUUUUUUUUUUUUUGAUGGGAACACCCAAAGAGAGAACAGGAGGAAGCAUGUGCUGCUUAGUAAAUGAACUACAUCCCCCAAGAAAGUAGUUGCAGCUCUCUUCAUGUGCCAAGUAUCUUUGAAUGAAAGGUUAUGCUUAAGGAAGUUUGAAGACAAGCCAUUAAUCCAAGAUAUGAUCGUGUCUGGAUCUCCUGACUGCACUUGGGAGGCUUGGAACCAAUAAACUGCAAUGCCAGCGCUGUGCUUUUCUGCAGUAGUUGUUCAGUGGUAGAUUGCUUGUUUUGAAGGAUGCAAGCAUUUCGACUGCACCACAGCAGCCGUCCCAUGACAAGCAAUAGUCCUUGAUUGUCUUUUGAUCCAUGAAGCUAUGCGAACAAGCUGUAUGAGCUGACCAAGGGACCAUUAAAAUUCUUCUUCUUGAUUAAAAUUCAAAUUCGAGCAUUCCAAAAGUUUUUGAGAAGAAAAGAUCACAUGAUGUAUCAUGUUUAGAAGAGAUUCAUUCUGUAUUCAGUGUCNNNNNNNNNNNNNNNNNNNNUCACAUGAUGUAUCAUGUUUAGAAGAGAUUCAUUCUGUAUUCAGUGUCACUAUUUUCUUUUCUGAUUGCUGACUCUUAUAAGAAUAUUAAG
rnacentral:lncRNA from 1 species